rnacentral:rRNA from 1 species
GUCUACGGCCAUACCACCCUGAACGCGCCCGAUCUCGUCUGAUCUCGGAAGCUAACCAGAGUCGGGCCUGGUUAGUACUUGGAUGGGAGAAAUGGGGGAAGAGAGACAGAGAAACAGUGAUGAGCUAGAAACAAGGAUUGGUUGCUGCCUGCACAACCC